rnacentral:rRNA from 1 species
UACGUAGGGACCAAGCGUUGUCCGGAAUCAUUGGGCGUAAAGAGCGUGUAGGCGGCUUGUUAAGUCUGGCGUGAAAUCUCGGGGCUCAACCCCGAGCGGUCGUGAGAAACUGGCAGGCUAGAGUCCGGAAGAGGCGAGUGGAAUUCCUGGUGUAGCGGUGAAAUGCGCAGAUAUCAGGAGGAACACCGGUGGCGAAGGCGGCCCUCUGGACGGUGACUGACGCUGAGACGCGAAAGCGUGGGGAGCAAACAGG